CGAUGGUUGUCGUCAGCUCGUGUCGUGAGAUGUUGGUUAAGUCCGCAACGAGCGCAACCCCUAUUGUUAGUUGCCAUCAUUCAGUUGGGCACUCUAGCGAGACUGCCGGUAAUAAACCGGAGGAAGGUGGGGAUGACGUCAAAUCAUCAUGCCCUUAUGACCUGGGCUACACACGUGCUACAAUGGUUGGUACAACGAGUUGCGAGUCGGUGACGGCGAGCUAAUCUCUUAAAGCCAAUCUCAGUUCGGAUUGUAGGCUGCAACUCGCCUACAUGAAGUCGGAAUCGCUAGUAAUCGCGGAUCAGCACGCCGCGGUGAAUACGUUCCCGGGCCUU
rnacentral:rRNA from 1 species